GUAGCAGACAGCAGCCCAUAGGGCAAGUUUGGCCAAGGUAUACAAGGAAGCAAGUGGGUCACUUUACAGUUCCAUUCACAAAUACAAGCAGCCACACCACGCCACUCAUGGCUCAACACGCUACACUCUGAAAGUGCCUUUUGAUGACCCUGUUGUCAUGCAACAGUUAAUCAAAGAUGCAAAGAUGUAGCACAGGCUGGACAUUACCUACACACUGACCAUUCUGCCUGAAAAUGAGCCUUUUUACCAACUAGCAUCAGUGAUGGCAUUAACUGAUGCCUCUCCUCCAGCCUUUGAUGCUGUCUGUUCGGAGUCUGGCAUCAGCUUUAAACUGGACCACCGACCUAUUGACUACCUGUGGGAGAUCUAUAUCGGCUCAGAGCUGCUGGCAGCUAAGCACGGCUACAUCAUGAGCAACAACAGCCAGACACUGCUGCUUGAGGACAUUACUUUGGAGGGCUUCUUCGGGACUUGAGCUCCUCAUGCGGGAUCAUGAAACAUUAGAGGUCUAGAGCUCAACUGUCAAGACUUGUCAGUUCUCUACUACUGAACUCGUGUGUUUGACUGAUGGCAAGAUAACUGUAGUGGCUGACUUGUCUCUGGCCAUCACAAGUGGGAGGAGUUUCUGCUAGAACCAACCUGGUAGACAAACUGUGGGCCCAAAGAUGAUCAGCACCAGGGCUCUCUUCUCUUUUCCAAUCAACAGCUGUGGAUCCACAGUCAAGGUCUACGGAGUCCCUUCAAGCCCACUACAGUGCUUCAAACACCAGUGCCCACUACCAUACCCACCCCAAGACCUGUUUCAGUGCAACCUGCUAACUGGCCUCCUGUUAUGUACAUCAAAGUAGCUUUCUAAAGAAUAAUAAAAAUAAUUAAAACCGA